UGGCCACCGUCGCACAUGGCCAUGCCAAGCUGGCCGUCCCUGCUCCAUCCGAUAGCGCUGCUCUCUGCAUCUCCCAUGGUCGAGCUCACCGCGUCCCUGUGUUUGAGUCCGUCGACCUCCAGCUCGCCAGCCGCGCCCUCCCUGCUCGCCCAGCCCCUCUGCUCACUGGUUUCUCCCCACGCCAGCAGCAGCAAGCAGCCAUGGCACCUCCUUCCCCUGCUCGCCCUCCCUCUGUGCCCAGCCUCCUCUCUGUUCUUCCGUGGAGCAAUAGCCCUCCUCUAAUUCUGCAGCAGCAGCUCUCCCUUUUUUCAUUUGUUCUCCAUGAAUGAAAGCCCAAGCGCCAGCCCCCCUCCCUUUCGUCAAGUGAUUGGAAGAGAGUUCUAGGGAAAUCGAUGGAGACGAAACCGUGUUUCAGUUCGACGCGGUCUAGGUGUUUGAUGGAAUGGAUGAACCGGAGAUCCUUGUUGCUCUUGCGAAAUCCGAGUCUAUUUAGUGUUGGUACGUUAAUUGAUCACGUGAUGUGAAAGGCAAGGUUUGGAUUGAUCUCAAGAUAAUGCUGAUGGACGAAGCUAAAGUGGGUGAAUCAAACAAAUGCCAGGAUGAGAGAUGCUCACCAAGUGGUCUUCAUCUAACAACACUAACUUAGUGUUAUCCCAGGUUAUAAGUUUGUUCUGUUGUGGAUGGUGCUAAGUGCCGGUGGGCUCGGCCUCCUUAUAUAAGUAUAUCCCAUCUUUAGCUUCUUUAUUGAGGGUUGUCACUUAAGCUAGCAUGUAUUUU
rnacentral:misc_RNA from 1 species